GGCCAGACUCCUACGGGAGGCAGCAGUGGGGGAUAUUGCACAAUGGGGGCAACCCUGAUGCAGCGACGCCGCGUGAGCGAUGGAGUACUUCGGUAUGUAAAGCUCUGUCAGCAGGGAAGAGAAUGACGGUACCUGACCAAGAAGCCCCGGCUAAAUACGUGCCAGCAGCCGCGGUAAUACGUAUGGGGCAAGCGUUAUCCGGAUUUACUGGGUGUAAAGGGAGCGUAGGCGGCAGGGCAAGCCUGAUGUGAAAGCCCGGGGCUCAACCCCGGGACUGCAUUGGAAACUGCGAGGCUGGAGUGUCGGAGAGGCAGGCGGAAUUCCUAGUGUAGCGGUGAAAUGCGUAGAUAUUAGGAGGAACACCAGUGGCGAAGGCGGCCUGCUGGACGAUGACUGACGCUGAGGCUCGAAAGCGUGGGGAGCAAACAGGAUUAGAUACCCCUGUAAA
rnacentral:rRNA from 1 species